rnacentral:tRNA from 1 species
GGGCCUUUAGCUCAGUUGGUUAGAGCGGCCGGCUCAUAACCGGUUGGUCCUGGGUUCGAGUCCCUGAAGGCCCA